rnacentral:rRNA from 1 species
UACGAAGGGUGCUAGCGUUGCUCGGAAUUACUGGGCGUAAAGCGCACGUAGGCGGAUUGUUAAGUCGGGGGUGAAAUCCUGGAGCUCAACUCCAGAACUGCCUUCGAUACUGGCGAUCUCGAGUUCGGGAGAGGUGAGUGGAACUGCGAGUGUAGAGGUGAAAUUCGUAGAUAUUCGCAAGAACACCAGUGGCGAAGGCGGCUCACUGGCCCGGUACUGACGCUGAGGUGCGAAAGCGUGGGGAGCAAACAGG